rnacentral:rRNA from 1 species
AGUGAACGCUGGCGGUAGGCCUAACACAUGCAAGUCGAACGGCAGCACAGUAAGAGCUUGCUCUUACGGGUGGCGAGUGGCGGACGGGUGAGGAAUACAUCGGAAUCUACUUUUUCGUGGGGGAUAACGUAGGGAAACUUACGCUAAUACCGCAUACGACCUACGGGUGAAAGCAGGGGAUCUUCGGACCUUGCGCGAUUGAAUGAGCCGAUGUCGGAUUAGCUAGUUGGCGGGGUAAAGGCCCACCAAGGCGACGAUCCGUAGCUGGUCUGAGAGGAUGAUCAGCCACUCUGAAACUGAGACACGGUCCAGACUCCUAGGGGAGGCAGCAGUGGGGAAUAUUGGACAAUGGGCGCAAGCCUGAUCCAGCCAUACCGCGUUGGUGAAGAAGGCCUUCGGGUUGUAAAGCCCUUUUGUGGGGAAAGAAAAGCAGCAGGUUAAUACCACGCUGUUCUGACGGUACCCAAAGAAUAAGCACCGGCUAACUUCGUG